rnacentral:rRNA from 1 species
AUUGAACGCUGGCGGCAUGCCUUACACAUGCAAGUCGAACGGCAGCGCGGGAGCAAUCCUGGCGGCGAGUGGCGAACGGGUGAGUAAUACAUCGGAACGUGCCCAAUCGUGGGGGAUAACGCAGCGAAAGCUGUGCUAAUACCGCAUACGAUCUACGGAUGAAAGCAGGGGAUCGCAAGACCUUGCGCGAAUGGAGCGGCCGAUGGCCGAUUAGGUAGUUGGUGAGGUAAAGGCUCACCAAGCCUUCGAUCUGUAGCUGGUCUGAGAGGACGACCAGCCACACUGGGACUGAGACACGGCCCAGACUCCUGCGGGAGGCAGCAGUGGGGAAUGUUGGACAAUGGGCGAAAGCCUGAUCCAGCCAUGCCGCGUGCAGGAUGAAGGCCUUCGGGUUGUAAACUGCUUUUGUACGGAACGAAACGGUCUUUUCUAAUAAAGAAGGCUAAUGACGGUACCGUAAGAAUAAGCACCGGCUAACUACGUG